rnacentral:ncRNA from 1 species
UGUUCUCAGGGCGGGGUGAAACUCCCCACCGGCGGUAUCGGGUGAAAACCCGGAGCCCGCGAGCGCCUUUUGCCUCCGUGCAGAAGGGUCAGCAGAUCCGGUGCGAUGCCGGAGCCGACGGUUACAGUCCGGAUGAAAGAGAGC